rnacentral:lncRNA from 1 species
AGAGCAGCAGCAAAGGGAAGCAGCGUCCUCGCCAAUACCUGGGCUGUCCUUCAAGGCUCAGUGCAAGGAAAAACACCUGGGUUGGACAUCAGGUAGUGCUGACUUCCAGACCACUGAGGUCACCUGCAUAAGCGAGUCUGGCAACAAAUAAUCGUCUUCCAGAAAAUGACCAGAAACUCAGCCUGCUUUUUGUCAUUUCACCAGCCCCACCAUCUUUCCUUUAUUCUAGAGCUCCUGGCACACUUACAUGAAUCUCUUGAAAGAAGAGAAAUGAGAGCAUUCAUUCCAUACUAAUACAAUUGUGCCCUAUGGAAAGGCUUUUUGCUGGCAGACAUAGUAGACGGACCAUUUCCCAACUUCUUUUUCUUUGCCACCUUCCAGCCAAAGGUGUCCAUAUGACACAGCUCUGGACAGGAUAAUUGGAAGUCUGUUGUGGGAUUUCUGAGAAAGCUUUUGAUUUUCUGACAGAG